CACGUAGGGCGCAAGCGUUGUCCGGAAUUAUUGGGCGUAAAGAGCUCGUAGGCGGUCUGUUGCGUCCGCUGUGAAAACCCGGGGCUUAACCCUGGGCUGGCAGUGGAUACGGACAGACUAGAGGUAGGUAGGGGAGAAUGGAAUUCCCGGUGUAGCGGUGAAAUGCGCAGAUAUCGGGAGGAACACCGGUGGCGAAGGCGGUUCUCUAGGCCUUACCUGACGCUGAGGAGCGAAAGCGUGGGGAGCGAACAGG
rnacentral:rRNA from 1 species